rnacentral:rRNA from 1 species
GAGACCGGCGCACGGGUGCGUAACGCGUAUGCAAUCUACCUUUUACAGGGGAAUAGCCCAGAGAAAUUUGGAUUAAUGCCCCAUAGUAUAAUUGAAUGGCAUCAUUUAAUUAUUAAAGUUCCAACGGUAAAAGAUGAGCAUGCGUCCCAUUAGUUAGUUGGUAAGGUAACGGCUUACCAAGACUAUGAUGGGUAGGGGUCCUGAGAGGGAGAUCCCCCACACUGGUACUGAGACACGGACCAGACUCCUACGGGAGGCAGCAGUGAGGAAUAUUGGACAAUGGGCGCAAGCCUGAUCCAGCCAUGCCGCGUGCAGGAAGAAGCAUCUAUGGUGUGUAAACUGCCUUUGUACGGGAAGAAACACUCCUUCGUGAAGGAGCUUGACGGUACCGUAAGAAUAAGGAUCGGCUAACUCCGUGCCAGCAGCCGCGGUAAUACGGAGGAUCCAAGCGUUAUCCGGAAUCAUUGGGUUUAAAGGGUCCGUAGGCGGUUUAAUAAGUCAGUGGUGAAAGCCCAUCGCUCAACGAUGGAACGGCCAUUGAUACUGUUAGACUUGAAUUACAAGGAAGUAACUAGAAUAUGUAGUGUAGCGGUGAAAUGCUUAGAUAUUACAUGGAAUACCAAUUGCGAAGGCAGGUUACUACUUGUGGAUUGACGCUGAUGGACGAAAGCGUGGGGAGCGAACAGGAUUAGAUACCCUGGUAGUCCACGCCGUAAACGAUGGAUACUAGCUGUUGGGAGUAAUCUC